rnacentral:tRNA from 1 species
AGCCUAUUAGCUCAAUUGGUAGAGCAUUGUGCAACGCACAAGAAUGUAGGUUCAAGUCCUGCAUAGGCUA